rnacentral:rRNA from 1 species
CCUACGGGUGGCAGCAGUGAGGAAUAUUGGUCAAUGGGCGCGAGCCUGAACCAGCCAAGCAGCGUGAAGGAUGACUGCCCUACGGGUUGUAAACUUCUUUUAUAAAGGAAUAAAGUGAGGCACGUGUGCCUUUUUGUAAGUAUUUUAUGAAUAAGGAUCGGCUAACUCCGUGCCAGCAGCCGCGGUAAUACGGAGGAUCCGAGCGUUAUCCGGAUUUAUUGGGUUUAAAGGGGGUGUAGCCGGGCUGAAAAGUGAGAGGUGAAAUUUCGGGGCUCAACCCCGGACCUGCCUUUGAAACUGUUGGUCUUGAGUAUCGUAGAGGCAGGCGGAAUUCAUGGUGUAGCGGUGAAAUGCUUAGAUAUUAGGAGGAACACCAGUGGCGAAGGCGGCCUGCUGAACGACAACUGACGGUGAGGCGCGAAAGCGUGGGGAGCAAACAGGAUUAGAUACCCUUGUAGUC